rnacentral:rRNA from 1 species
ACAGAGGGUGCGAGCGUUAAUCGGAAUUACUGGGCGUAAAGCGCGCGUAGGCGGCUUGUUAAGUCAAAUGUGAAAUCCCCGAGCUUAACUUGGGCAUUGCAUUCGAUACUGGCAAGCUAGAGUAUGGGAGAGGAAGGUAGAAUUCCAGGUGUAGCGGUGAAAUGCGUAGAGAUCUGGAGGAAUACCGAUGGCGAAGGCAGCCUUCUGGCCUAAUACUGACGCUGAGGUGCGAAAGCAUGGGGAGCAAACAGGAUUAGAUACCCUGGUAGUCCAUGCCGUAAACGAUGUCAACUAGCCGUUGGGCCCCUUGAGGGCUUAGUGGCGCAGCUAACGCGAUAAGUUGACCGCCUGGGGAGUACGGUCGCAAGACUA